AGUCAAGUAAUUAAGUGCAUGUGGUGGAUGCCUUGGCAGUCAGAGGCGAAGAAAGACGUGAUAGCCUGCGAAAAGCUCCGGGGAGGCGGCAAAUAUCCUGUGAUCCGGAGAUGUCUGAAUGGGGAAACCCACCUGGUAUAAGCCAGGUAUCGUAUGAUGAAUACAUAGUCAUGCGAGGCGAACGGAGGGAAGUGAAACAUCUCAGUACCUCUAGGAAAAGAAAUC
rnacentral:rRNA from 1 species